UGAUUCUAGGAUGAAAUGGAGGUGUUAGAAAUCAGAGAUUCAAACAAGCCUUUGUGAAAAUAAGAUGCUUAAGAGGACUUGAACCCAUGUCCUUUGACUAUGGCACUAGGUUACUUUCCACUAUUCCACAUCAGAUCUUAGGUGAACUGAGUAUACUGAAAUGGGAGUGCCCAAGUAACUG